UACAGAGGGUGCGAGCGUUGUUCGGAAUUAUUGGGCGUAAAGAGAGUGUAGGCGGGAUCGUAUGUCGGGUGUGAAAGCCCUCGGCUCAACCGAGGAAGUGCGCCCGAAACUGCGGUUCUGAGUGUCGGAGAGGGUGGCGGAAUUCCCGGUGUAGAGGUGAAAUUCGUAGAUAUCGGGAGGAACACCAGAGGCGAAGGCGGCCACCUGGACGAACCGCU
rnacentral:rRNA from 1 species